rnacentral:rRNA from 1 species
UACGGAGGGUGCAAGCGUUAUCCGGAUUUACUGGGUUUAAAGGGUGCGUAGGUGGACAUUUAAGUCAGCGGUGAAAUCUCCGGGCUUAACUCGGAAAUUGCCAUUGAUACUAUUUGUCUUGAAUUAUCUGGAGGUGAGCGGAAUAUGUCAUGUAGCGGUGAAAUGCUUAGAUAUGACAUAGAACACCAAUUGCGAAGGCAGCUCACUACGGAUAUAUUGACACUGAGGCACGAAAGCGUGGGGAGCAAACGGG